rnacentral:rRNA from 1 species
UAAGUAAAAAUUAAUAAUUUAAAUUUAAUAAAAGUAAUUUUAAUAUUAAAAUAGGGGGUUAAAGUAUUUUAAUAGAAAAAAUUAGAAAAUUUAUAGUUAAUUAGUAUAGUAAUAGAAUUUUGAAAUAAUUGAAAAUUGAAUUUAAUGAAAAGUAAAUUUUAUUUAUUGUAUCUUGUGUAUCAGAGUUUAUUAAAUAAUAUUUAAGAUUUUAAACAUCUCGAAUUUAAAAGAGUUAAUUAAUUAAUAAAUUUAAUGUAAAAUAAUUAUUUUUAAUAAUUAAUUAGAAAUGAAAUGUUAUUCGUUUUUAAAAAUAUCUAGUUAUUUUAGAAAAAAAUUUAAUUUUAAAUUUAUUUAAAAUUAAAUUAAUUGUUUAAUUUAAUUUAAUUUAAAUUUUAUAAUUUAAGGGAUAAGCUUUAAAUUAAAUAUUUAUAAUAAAUUAUUUUAAUUUAAAAUUUUUAAAAUUUAAAUUGUUUAAAAAUUAAAAUUUUUUAUAAAAAAUUUUAAAAUAAAUAAGAUUUAAUAAAAUUUAAUUUUUUAUAAAAUUAUAUUUAAAAAUUAUUCAUAAUUAAAAAUAAUGAUAAAAUUAGUAUAAUAAAUAUAUAUAUAUAUAUAUAUAUAUUAUUUACAAUUAAAUUAAAGGAAUUCGGCAAAUUUUUAUAUUCACCUGUUUAACAAAAACAUGUCUUUUUGAUUUAAUUUAAAGUCUAAUCUGCCCACUGAUUUAUAUUAAAGGGCUGCAGUAAUUUGACUGUACAAAGGUAGCAUAAUCAUUAGUCUUUUAAUUGAAGACUUGUAUGAAAGAUUUGAUGAAAUAUAAACUGUCUCUAUUUUAUUUAUAAAAUUUAAUUUUUUAGUCAAAAAGCUAAAAUAAAUUUAAAAGACGAGAAGACCCUAUAGAGUUUUAUAAUGUUAAUUUUUUAGUAUUUAUAUAAAAUUUUAAUAUUAAAUUAUUUAUAUUAUUUUAUUGGGGUGAUAAAAAAAUUUAUAGAACUUUUUAUAUGUUUAUACAAAAAUAAGUGAAUUAUUGAUCCUAGAUUAAGAUUAAAAGAAAAAAUUACCUUAGGGAUAACAGCGUAAUUUUUUUUUUUAGUACAAAUAAAAAGAAAAGUUUGCGACCUCGAUGUUGGAUUAAGAUAAAAUUUAAAUGUAGAAGUUUAAAAUUUUGAUCUGUUCGAUCAUUAAAAUCUUACAUGAUCUGAGUUCAAACCGGUGUAAGCCAGGUUGGUUUCUAUCUUUAAAAAAAAAAAAUAUUUUA